UNGCCCAGGAAUCAAACGAUUUAGAGCUUGC
rnacentral:piRNA from 1 species